GCACUCUUAGCUCAAUGGAUAGAGCAACAGUCUUCUAAACUGUAGGUUGUGGGUUCGAUACCCACAGAGUGCA
rnacentral:tRNA from 1 species